rnacentral:rRNA from 1 species
UACGUAGGGUGCAAGCGUUUGUCCGGAAUUAUUGGGCGUAAAGAGCUCGUAGGCGGUUUGUCGCGUCGGCCGUGAAAAACCUGAGGCUUAACCUUGGGCGUGCGGGCGAUACGGGCAGACUGGAGUACUGCAGGGGAGACUGGAAUUCCUGGUGUAGCGGUGGAAUGCGCAGAUAUCAGGAGGAACACCGGUGGCGAAGGCGGGUCUCUGGGCCGAUACUGACGCUGAGGAGCGAAAGCGUGGGGAGCGAACAGG